GAUAGCCACAGCAGCAAUCCUUGCUCCAUUGUCGAUCCAGAGAGUGAUCUCAUCUUUCCUCAGCCCUCUCACUUCUUCAAGACCCUGCAUAGAAGUGCACAAAUAAGCACUUGAAUUAAAUCAAGAACCCAACUAGAAGAAGAGAAAACUGUUAGAUUAGUUUCAAUAACAAGCAUAUCAGAUAUACCUUCAGAAGGUCUAUCUUUCUUCCUGCUCUUGACAGUUGCGAGGU
rnacentral:lncRNA from 1 species